rnacentral:rRNA from 2 species
UGAACGAAGAAGGCCUUCGGGUCGUAAAGUUCUGUUGUUAGGGAAGAACAAGUACCAGAGUAACUGCUGGUACCUUGACGGUACCUAACCAGAAAGCCACGGCUAACUACGUGCCAGCAGCCGCGGUAAUACGUAGGUGGCAAGCGUUGUCCGGAAUUAUUGGGCGUAAAGCGCGCGCAGGUGGUUCCUUAAGUCUGAUGUGAAAGCCCACGGCUCAACCGUGGAGGGUCAUUGGAAACUGGGGAACUUGAGUGCAGAAGAGGAAAGUGGAAUUCCAAGUGUAGCGGUGAAAUGCGUAGAGAUUUGGAGGAACACCAGUGGCGAAGGCGACUUUCUGGUCUGUAACUGACACUGAGGCGCGAAAGCGUGGGGAGCAAACAGGAUUAGAUACCCUGGUAGUCCACGCCGUAAACGAUGAGUGCUAAGUGUUA